UUUUUUUUUUUUUUUUUUUUUUUUUGCUCUUUAGGGCUGCACGUGCAUUCCCAGGCUAGGGGUCAAAUUGGAGCUAGAGCUGCCAAUCUACACCACAGUCACAGCAACAUGGGAUCCAAGCCACAGCUGCGAUGUACACCACAGCUCACCAGAACACCGGAUCCUUAACCCACUGAGCAAGGCCAGGGAUCAAACCUGCAUCCUUAUGGAUACUAGUCGGAUUUGUUUCCACUGCACCACAAAAGGAACUCCCUGACUUCUGCUCAACAAUACCUUUUAAGGUUCUUUCCCUUCAUAUUAGAGAUACAUUUCGUUCUUUUUAGCUGUUGUAGAACAUGUGUAUGAACAUACUAUUUAGCUAUUAUCCUACCAAUAGACACUUAAGUUGCCUCUAAUUGCUUUGUUUUACCAACAAGGUAACACUAAACAUCUCUGUAUAGGCCUCUUCUGUAAAUAUAUACAUGUUUCUGAAGGGCAGAUACACAGAAGUAGAAAUGUAUAGGGUAUAUACAUUUAAAUUUUUAACAGAUAUUGCCAAAAUGCUCUCCAACAUUACUUUCCAAUUUAAACUCAAGCAGCAGUGGAGAAAGUAUCCAUUUCCCUAAAUGCUCACCAAAUCCUGAAUUAACAAGCUUUUCUUUUUUCACAAACCAAUGACUUUUUAAAAUUUGUAUUUCUCUGAUUAAUUUUUGUUAAACCAUACCAAAUGUAAUGGCCAAACUAUUACAUUUACUGGCCUUUUGUAUCUUCUUUUCUGUGGAAUGUGAUUCAUAUUCUUUAUUUUUCUAAUGGCCUUUUCCUAUUUAAAAUUUGGAUUUUGUUUGUUUGUUUGUUUGUUUGUUUGUUUGUUUUUUGGUCUUUUUUUAUGGCUGCACUCCUGGCAUAUGGACGUUCCCAGGCUGUUACUGUUAAGGGCCGAAUCUGAGCUAUAGCUGGUGGCCUACACCACAGCCACAGCAAUGUGGGAUCCGAAAGUCACACCUGUGACCUACACCCUCCUUGUAGCAACACUGGAUCCUUAACCCACUGAGCAAGGCCAGGGAUUGAACCCACGUCCUCAUGGUUACUAGUCAGGUUUGUUACUACUGAGCCACAACGGGAACUCCCUGGAUGAACUUUUUAUAUAUUCUGGACAAAAAGGCAAACAGCAGAGUAGGUUAAGAGUAACAGAGCUAGCCUGCCUAUGGCCCACUAGCUGUCUGAUCUUGGCAAGUUACUUAGUUUAGCUACUCCAUGCCACAGUUUCCUCAUCUGUAAAAAAGUGGAUAACAACUGUACUAAUAGAGUCACCAUGAGGAUUAAGUUAGUUAAUAAACUUGAAGCGCAUUAAAGCAGUGCCUGGAAGAGCACAAGUGUUAUUUAAGUGUUUUCUUUCUGUCUGGAGGAUUUGCUGUAAAUAUUUUUUCUCACUUUAUUAUCUUUUAGCUCAUGUUUAUAAUAACUCUUCACUUACUUUUCCUCAAACAGUUCUUUUUCCAUCUCUAGUCUAAUAACCAAAAUUAUAUAAGUAGAUGAAACCAACAAAAGACUGCCCUCACUGAAUCUCACAACCAACUUCUCCUCAAGAAUAAAUACAGACAUCAGCCAAUCCAUAUAAAUUAAAAAAAAAAAUCUUUCCACUACAAAAAUAGCUAACUUCCCUAUGAAUAAAGCAUUUCCAAAAUCAGUAAGAAGACUGAUAAUCCAGAAGGCAAAAAAAGGCAAAGCAAAUAAACAAAUUCAACAAAAAAUGGAAAUAAAAAUGGUUCUUAAAAAUAUGAAGAGAUCCCUGAGCUCAUUUAGAAGUGCAAAUAAAAGCACACAUCCUACAGAUCAGUAAAGAUCAAGAAGUUUUAAAAUAUACACUGUGUGGGUGUAAAGAAAUAGGCAUUCAUACAUUUCUGGUGGGAGCGUAAAAUGUUAUAGUUUCUAUGAAAAGCAAUUUGGCACUGUCUUUCCAAAAUAAAAAUGCACAUACCAUUCAGUUAAUCAGUUUAACAUCAGGGAAUUUAUCCUAUAGAAACAUGCAUUUGUAUUAAAAAUAACAUACCUGGAAUUCCCCUUGUGGUGCAGCAGAAAUGAAUCUGACUAGUAACCAUAAGGUUGCAGGUUCGAUCCCUGGCCUUGCUCAAUGGGUUAAGUACCCAGUGUUACCAUGAGCUGUGGUGUAGGUCACAGACAUGGCACAGAUCACAUGCUGCUGUGGUGUGGCGUAGGCCAGCAGCUGCAGCUUCAAUUUGACCCCUAGCCUGGGAACCUCCAUACGCCCUCCGAUUCCAACCCCUAGCCUGGGAACCUCCAUAUGCCGCGGGAUAGGCCCAAGAAAUAGCAAAAAGACAAAAAAAAAAAAAGGUAAAAGCAGAGGUUCACCAUCCUAGCUGCCCAUUAUCAACCUCUGUGGAACAUUUUAAACCUACAGAUGUCCAGGUAUCACCCCUGAAAUUCUAUUUAGUAGGUCUGGAGUAGAGCUUGGGUAUCAGAAUUUUUUUAAUUCACAGGUGACACUGAUGGGCGGUCAGGUCUGAAAACAGCUGAGUUAGAGCAUGACACAAAUAGAUAAACAUCUAGGCUCAAUCUCCACCUAGGUUACAACCAUUGCUUCAUCACUAAUCCUUACCACUUCACGAAGCUCUUAAAAAUGAACAGGUGAGAGUGUGUAGAUGGCUCAAUGAAAACCUAUCGCUUCUGGAGUUCCCACUGUGGUGUAUGAGAAUCUGCAGGAUCUGUGACAUCUUGGGAGUGCUAGGAUUCAGGAUCAACCCCCAACCCAGCACAUUGGGUUAAGGAUUCAGCAUUGCUGCAGUUGUGGCUUAGGUCACAACUGUGGACUGGAUCUGAUCCCUGGCCCGAGAACUCCAUAUGCCAUGGGGUGGCCAAAAAAAAGAAAAAUCUAUUACUUUUGGGUAUAUCAUUAGAUAGACAGUGUAAUCUUCACAUAUUCGAUGAAGUACAUUUGCAACAUUCAUACUACUGAGUUCACCCUACAUAGCAUUUAGGCAAAAACUUUGAUAGUGGUGAACUAGUGCCCAACAGGCCAUUAACUAUGUGAUAAUGGAGUAUCAACUUCUUCAUUUGUAAAAUGAGGGGAAUGAAAAAGAUAUGUUCUCCACCUUCUAGCUCUCAACUUCUAUAAUUCUCUUAGAAAACAGGUGUCUAAAAGUAACUAUUGUUUUAGGAUAAACUGGGAAGAGUUUUUUUUCAUCUCAGCCACCACUUAGGCCCAAUUCACAGUCCAGGGAUAGAACCCGCAUUCUCAUGGAUGCUAGUCAGGUUCAUUAACUGCUGAGCCAUGACAGGAACUCCAGGAUUCAAACAAUCUUAUCUAAUAAAUAUUAGAUAAGUAGUAUUUUUAAAAUAGUGCACAUUACACAAAAUAGGUAUACUAAAUAUAUUUAAGCAUUAAAAUAAAAGCAUCUAGGAGUUCCCAUCAUGGCACAGCAGAAACGAAUCUGACUAGGAACCAUCAGGUUUCGGGUUUGAUCCCUGGCCUUGCUCAGUAGGUUAAAGACCCAGCGUUGUGGUGAACUGUGGCGUAGGUCACAGACAUGGCUUGGAUCUGGCGUUGCUGUGGCUAUGGUGUAGGCCAGCAGCAAUAGCUCCGAUUAGACCCCUGGCCUGGGAACCUCCAUAUGCUGUGGGUGAGGCCCUAAAAAGACAAAAGAUAAAAAUAAAGUUUUAAUUUAAAAAAUAAAUAAAAGCAUCCAAUGUACUGCCUUAAAGCAAAUGGUUCAAGUUAAAAGUCAACAAUCCAAGACUCACUGCUGGAAGGGAUGUUAAAGACCACAGCUCACAGUAACAAAUCUGUCAAUUACUUUUCACUGAUGUUUACAUGUGAACUGGUAUAACCUCAUAAGAUAUACUAUUUUAGCUAGAGAUUUUUGAUGACAAUAACAUACAAAGCUAAAGCUGUAUCAAAAAUUUCUUAAUAUACAUGUUUUUUAAGUUUAUAUGAUUUUUAUUUUUUCCAUUAUAGUGGAUUUACAGUGUUCUAUCAAUUUCUACUGUACAGCAAACUGACCCAGUCAUACCAUAAAAAGUUUUUUAAUAUGCAUUAAUUGAUAACUAUACAAAAACUGUUAGCAGAUCUCAAAAGAGCAUAGAAUUUCAUUAGUAGAUGAAACAUGUAAUCUGAUAUUGUCAAAUAAUUUCAUAAAGCAUAUUAGUAAGAAAUAGGAUUAGCAUCUACAAUUAAAGGAUAAAAUGACAGUUUUAUUUCAGCUACAUUAGUUCCACAGUCUCUUAGAGUCUAUUCAAAGAAUUCUAAGUUAAAAAGAAAAAUUCUAUGAACUCAUUGAGGUUUACCUCUUGUCUUCCUCAGAGCAAAUGAUUAGCAAACUGUUCUGUGAACUUUCACAAAGAACCCUUUUCUCUCAUUUCUAUCCAUCUGAAAGAUGGAUUCUUCCUCCAUUCUAAAUAACUCAUCAUCUCAUUUCAAAUUUCUGACAAUAGUGAGUUCUUAGCAUGAACAAGCCCUUUUUUAAAUCUCUCCCUCUUUCUAUUAAUUUAUUAAGUAAUUCAUUUCAAAUAUCUAAUAAUAAUGAAUUUUUAGCAUGAAUAAACUCUUUUUAAUCUCACUCUCUCAAUGCUACUGCAUGGUCAAUAAAAUGUUUUGGUUUAUAUUUUAUUACCAAGAAACUCAAACCUACCAUGACAAAUAAAAACAUUUAAUAUGUAUGGUGUGAUUAUGAGAUUUUUCUUUUACAGGCUCAGAACCAAUUAGUAGCAAUAUUCAUGGAAUAUAGUCAGGUAACAAUAUUCAAAUCCCCUAAUAAUAAGCAAUCAGAGCAUUUAGAAAAAUUUAAUCCUUUUCCUAAUGAGGCAACUUUGGCAUCAGUUCAAACCUAAGCUCAGUUGGCACUGUAAUUUUGAAAAGGAUGAACUUCCUGCCACAGACUCAAGUAGUUUUCUCUUAAUAAUACUAUCAUCUUCUAGUUUGUUUAGCUGUAAAAUUUACAGAACACUUUCCUAUCUAAUAUGUAUAUAAUAUGUAUCUCAAAUCCUCCUCAUGAUAUCAUAGUGAGAAGUAAGGCAUUUUUCUAAAGGCCUAUUUUGUUCCAGGCACUGAGCUAACACCUGGACAGUUUAAAAAAAGGGGGGGAGGGAUAAAGAAUGAAUUCAACCUCAGAAGAACCCCCAAAGAAGGCUUUGGUCAGGAGAUCACAUGGAGUAGGGUUUUGAAGGAUGAGCAGGAGUUCCCUGACAUAAAUAUGGACUGGGGGGAAGGAGAAGACUCUCAAGCAGAGGGAACAACAUGUACAAAAUGGCUAGUAAUGAGGCAUUAUUCCCAUUUUAAAGAUGAGGAAGAAAAAUGAAAGGUAUGAGUGAGUUGCCUAAAGUCACAUGAAUAAUAAUUAACAAUGUGCAAAAGAGAAUUCAAGUCUUCUGAUUUUAAUCAGCUUUGUACACCAGGAAAUGCUAGCACAUGCUGGACAGAACCUAGAUAAACAUUAGUUUUAUCUCCUACUUUACUCCCUCUUAAGAUAUGGUCCAUGCCUGAUUCAGUUGCUGAGCUGGGGGACUGGAGAAGGGGAUUUAUUCAAUUCUCAAAUCAAUCUUGUAGGAUAGAAAUAUUUUUACUACCCCCACUUACACAUGAGAAUACAGAGACACACACAAGUUAGCAAAAGUUAAAAAUUAAGUGAAAAAUCAAACCCAGGUGACUAACCUGAUCAAGUCUCUCAAACACUUAACCAUACCCCUUAGAUCCUAUUUUGUCAAACAGCCCUAGAUCAUUCUUCAUCUGAAGAGAUCAGGAGACCAAGUAAGUCCUGGGACACAUCAUGGUCCCACGCAUCUCAUACUGUACCACACAUCUCAAUAUUCACACAAAUCCUCACUGGGCUCCCUUAUCAAUCUGCUCUCCCUUGAGCAGAUAAACCUGUGCAUAAGGUGGUGUGGGCUCUUUAAGCAUCAUUUUUACAACCUGAUUUAACUGGAGAAGUCAAACUUAACAAAAAGCAGUAACCAAAAAAGAGGACAUCAUAAAAUAGUAGCAUGAACCCUGAAAUUAUGAAGGAGAAAGCUCCAAUCCCCAUCUUUCACAUGGGUGUUUUAGGGGGAGGGAGGCCAAUGCCAAAGUGCUUCAGGAGGACCAGCAUACUCACCACUCAGGCACUGUUCAGAACAAAGGAUGGAGUCUGGAAUGCAACCUUACUUUCCUAUAUCAAAGGUUCAUAUGACAAUUCUAGAACAUCAACAACCCGAGCUGCCCUUGAAUAUUAUUAUCUGGAGCUACCAUGGUUUCCUACCAUACUAAUAUGACUUCAAGGAAUUGGGGAUCAGCAUAUAAACUCAAAUAUUAUAGCAACACCGGAUUUGCUAAUGUCAGCUGAUUAUUUAAAAGUGACCACAAAAUGGUUUUCAAUGUCAUUUCACCUUGUGAAAUAUAUGGGAAAAUUAAUAAAGAUAUUAAAACAAAAUGCCUACAGAAGGUUGUGGAUGACUAUUCUAGAACUUUAGAGAUAUAAAUCAAUCCUUCCUUACUUUCUGCUGAUAUGAUUUGGAGUUGGAGGGUUCUACCCAAGUCCAGGAAAAGGAUGUUUCCUUUCAGCUUAACUUUCAACCCUAUGGACCUCUAAUUCUCCAAGUCAGAGGGUCUCAAUCAAGUUUGGAAUCUGCCAGCACAUCUCCGGGGUAGUGGGCACCUCAGACCUUCCUCUGAGGUCUCCCAGCUUGGUGAAAAGGAAAACUGACAUGGUUACCCCUGUCCCCAAGGUUCUUAAUAGCUGCGUGGUCAGAACCGCUAUCAUCCCAUUUCUGUGACUUUAGCACCUGCUAAUAAUGA
rnacentral:lncRNA from 1 species